CAACUGUUUUUGACAAAAAAAAUUUCCAGCUAUUCAUAAAAAGUAAAUAAAAGGGUCCGGUUGUGUACCGUUAACAUAUUGUGGGUUUCGAGUCUGCUUCACGGAGAGAUAAAUAGGUGCGAACAUGACGAAUUGGAGAAAAAAAUAGCUGCGAACGAACAUGACGAAUUGGAGAAAGAAAAAGAGCUGCGAACUUGACGAAUCGGAAAAAGAAAAGAUUGGAGCUUCUUGAUUGGAUUUCGAUUAUUCUGAAUUCGUUCUAGUUCGUUCUUUGAUUGAUUUCGAUUAUUCUUACAAAAUUGGAGAAAGAAAUACAGAGGUUUGGAGGCUUUGUGGCAUUUCUCAUUUACAUGAUCACAACUUUCAUCCUCUACAAUCCUGUUUGGAGUUUCAUAGAUCAUAUUAAUGGCGAUGAACCAAGGAGAUACACAGUGAUAUGUAGGUUGAGAGGACACUUAGGUCCUGCAUGUAACGCUGUUGGACAUUUGGUAGUCAAGUUUGGGGGUUAACCAUUUUUAUUCAAAUCUUGUUUGGAGAUACUUAAAGGUGGGCAUUGAUCUGUGCUUAAGAGCAUGUUUCAUUUAAUUAUGUUUUAGAAUUGAUCUUGAAAA